UAAGUCCAUCUUAAAAGUUAUUUUACUUUAAUUGGAACAAUACAGAGAUUAGCAUGGCCCCUGUGUAAGGAUGACAUGCAAAUUCAUGAAGCAUUCCAUUAAAAA
rnacentral:snRNA from 1 species